ensembl:lncRNA
UGCAGCUACUUAGUUGCUCCUCCAGUUCUGCUAUCCGACACAGCAGCUUUGACCGCGACGUUCGAGAUCUCGUCUUUCACUGUAUGGCUGUGGCAAAUUUGUCUCGCCGCCACUGUCAGCAGAGGGCGGUGGGCCACUGUCGUCACAUCCUGCAGAUAUGGUCGGACAUGAGGAGGGUUCUAAAGUCCUCCGAGGAUCCUGACAAACACCAGCAGAACUUUGAGAACGACUGCACGUUACUGAGGCAGCAUAUGCACGCGCUCGACAGAGCGUUAACCACCGCCGUUCUUCAUCAGGUCUUGGACGCGUUUGGAACCGCCUCCUCGGCUGUUUCAGAGCUUUUGAAAGUGACGAGACAGAUCCUUGUGGGAGACGCGUCCACCCAAACAGAUCUGAACUUUGCCCAGCCCCUCCUUGAGGGUUUCACGUCGCGCGCCCAGAGAAUAACCCAAGUGGCACAUUUUGCCUCGGCUAUGGCCGCAGAUGCGCAGCGCGUGGAGUACGUGGAGAACUCGAGAACGUGCCUCAGCAGACUCGGAGCUCGAAUCGCAUCGCUCUCUCCAGAGCUAGCAGAUCACUCGACUGCUCAGAAACUUCAUGACGUCUGUCUGAAGUGGGAGGAGGAGACCAGCCAGCUUCUGGAUGCUGUCAUCGAUGUGGUGGACGUGAAGGAGUUCACCAGCAUCGCCAUCACUGAGAUGGUCAACGACCGGCUCGGCUGUGACGAAGCGUACCGUCAGCAAGGCCGCGAGGAGUUUGAUGAGCAGGCAGCGACUCUCCUCCGUCACAUGAGGAUGGCGGCUCAGUCUGUGAAGAGGCACCUGGGCAGAAGCGACGACCCCAUCUACAGGAACGGCCUCCUCGUUCUGCUGAAACAGGUUCAGUCCUCCCAAGACGAAGUCGCCCGGUCGGUCAGAGAGACGCUUUCUGGUUCCCGCCUCAAUGUGGAGGUUUACGCAACUUUUUCAGACAACGUUUCUGCUGCCAUGGAGCAUUUUAAAGUGCUCCGCAAAGGUCUGGACGGCCAACAGCAUCCGCAUCUCCUGAGCCCGUUGCGAGAGGUCGCACGCGAGACAACAAGCUCACAGAUGCGCCUCCCCGGUGACGACGCCUGUGACCACCUGAGGCGGCGCGUUGACUCUCCGGGUUCGGAGCUAGCGGCGAGGGAUUCCUUAGCUGGACAUGAGGAAGACCACUCAGACGAGGAAACCAUAGAAGCAGAAAUGGCUCAUAAAUCUGACAAAGAUGAUUUAGACCCCCCAGCUGUCUCCAGGGCGCCCACGCUGAUCCGCAGGUCCCUUGAGGUCGACCUUUUGCCUCUCGUGUAUGAUGUCGUGACUGUGACCAAAGCUAAGGAUGUGACAUUACUGAACCGGGCCUGCACCAGCGUCCUGGAGCUCUCAAACUGUUACGCUCAAUCUGCGAAAGAGGCCGCUUCCGUUGUCGGAGUAGCCGAUCGGCAAACGCUGGAAAGUUUCCGAGCGGAGCUGGUGUCCCUGACGCCGCUGCUGGUCCAGACGGCUCAGGAGACAGCGAUGAGCUCAGUGAUGAGCACAGGGAUGCUGUACAAACACAGCAUCCAUUUCUCUGACCUCAUUAAGAACGCCCGCGAGGUUUUACUGCCGACGGCUGGAAACUGGUAUCGCGCUGUUUACACUGAGCUGCGAGGCGCUCUGCCAGCAAUGACUGCGUCUGUUAGGAAGCAAAUAAAUGAAGUGAUGACUUUAUGCACUGAUACAGUCCAGCUCCUGACAUCAUCCGAUUUAACCUUAAAAAGUGAUCAAGAAAGAUUCAGCGUUUUGCACAACAAGCUGAGUAAAGCCCAGAACCAUACAAGGAACCUGGUGGAGUUUUCUACGUCGUCGGAGAAGCCGCUAAAUCAAUUAGAAGGCCUCUGCCUCCUCUGGGGUCUAUCUGUUCAAAUUGUGCUGAAUUCUGUUGACAGAAUUUUGGGAACAUCAGCGGAUCAAAUGGGCCCUCAGAAGCAGCUCUCGAUAUUGUCUGAGAACUCGCUUCGGAUCCAAGAGGCAGUCCGGUUAACCUGCCUAAAUUCCAGAAGCGCCUACAAAUCCAAACAGUUGACGGCAGACGAGGAGGAACUGAAAAGGCUCACCGACGACUACAUCAAAGCUGCCGAAGAGCUGGACGCCAUGCCCAACGUCUUGCGACUGGGAAAGUCCGAGUUUUUCCAGAGAAAUCUUUUAAUUAAGAUCAAAAUCCUUGUUGGCCAUUUAAGCAAAAUGAACAGAGAUUAUGAGACCGGCCUACAUAAUAUACUUAAGAUGGCUUAUUUUUCUGCCGCAACCAGCGAUGAGAACAACCCUGAAGACGCUGAGGGGAACCUCGAAGAGGCCGCACAAACGCUGUUUGAUCGUGUGGAACUUGCCUGCAAAAAGGUGGAGGACUCGUUACACUACAUCCGCGAUCCUCGUGUGCGUUGUAAUCUGAGGUCUAUCAACGACCAUCUCUCCUUUCAGAUCUCAGAUAUAAUCAGCAGGGCGAGGCUCAUGGCGGAGGCUCGGGAUAUUUGUGACACGCUCAGCCUGGAUGUGCUAAUACAGUGCUGGUCAGCCAAAGCUCAUUAUGUGCUGGAGGAAAUCAGGAGGCAGGAAGGGAUUCAUCAAGAGGCUAAAGAGCAAAUCAGGGCUGGUCUGCAAGGCAGAACACUCGGUUACGUGAGAGAUGCGUUGGCUCCAAACCCAUCUGGAGCUAAAAAACUUCCCUCCGGCGAGCAAUUCUGCCACAAAGUCAAUGGGAAAAAGACAGUAGACUCAAAUGUAAACCUGGCAGCUGAGGACAAAUGUGGACCUGAAAACACGAGAAAAGCUGAUGGCAGAGACAGGGCAGGGUGGCACAGAGAAGCUUUUUCACUUACUGACACCUCCAUCUUCUUGAGGCAAGAAAGUGACAGCUGGGAUCCUGAGGACAACAGAAUAGUUCAGGUGACCAGCAAGAUGGCCGACACAAUAUAUUACAUGACCCAGUACCUCAGGAAAAAAGGCCCAAUUCCGGUAAAGGCCACUAGAGGGCGGCUUAGUCUUGAUUUUUGCAGGCCCUAA